UCAAGAAACUUCCACAAUGGGCGCAAGCCUGAUCCAGCCAUGCCGCGUGCAGGAUGACGGUCCUAUGGAUUGUAAACUGCUUUUUGUACAGGAAGAAACAGUUCUACGUGUAGAACCUUGACGGUACUGUAAGAAUAAGGAUCGGCUAACUCCGUGCCAGCAGCCGCGGUAAUACGGAGGAUUCCAAGCGUUAUCCGGAAUCAUUGGGUUUAAAGGGUCCGUAGGCGGUUAGAUAAGUCAGUGGUGAAAGCCCAUCGCUCAACGGUGGAACGGCCAUUGAUACUGUCUGACUUGAAUUAUUAGGAAGUAACUAGAAUAUGUAGUGUAGCGGUGAAAUGCUUAGAGAUUACAUGGAAUACCAAUUGCGAAGGCAGGUUACUACUAAUGGAUUGACGCUGAUGGACGAAAGCGUGGGUAGCGAACAGGAUUAGAUACCCCCGUAGUCCCUGAGCGGGCUGGCAAGGCGCAU
rnacentral:rRNA from 1 species